rnacentral:rRNA from 1 species
GCUUGUCUCAAAGAUUAAGCCAUGCAUGUCUAAGUAUAAAUAAUUUUACUGUGAAACUGCGGAUGGCUCAUUAAAUCAGUUAUAGUUUAUUUGAUAGUCGCUUACUACAUGGAUAACCGUGGUAAUUCUAGAGCUAAUACAUGCGUAAAGACCCGACUUCUGGGAGGGUCGUAUUUAUUAGAUACAAAACCAAUGCGGGGCAACCCGGAAUAUGGUGAUUCAUAAUAACUUUCGGAUCGUUUACGAUGCAUCAUUCAAGUUUCUGCCCUAUCAGCUUUGGAUGGUAGGGUAUUGGCCUACCAUGGCUUUAACGGGUAACGGAGAAUUAGGGUUCGAUUCCGGAGAGGGAGCCUGAGAAAUGGCUACCACAUCCAAGGAAGGCAGCAGG